rnacentral:rRNA from 1 species
CCUACGGGAGGCAGCAGUGAGGAAUAUUGGUCAAUGGCCGAGAGGCUGAACCAGCCAAGUCGCGUGAGGGAUGACGGCCCUACGGGUUGUAAACCUCUUUUGUCGGGGAGCAAAGAGAGUCACGUGUGGCUCAUUGAGAGUACCCGAAGAAAAAGCAUCGGCUAACUCCGUGCCAGCAGCCGCGGUAAUACGGAGGAUGCGAGCGUUAUCCGGAUUUAUUGGGUUUAAAGGGUGCGCAGGCGGUGGUGCAAGUCAGUGGUCAAAUUGUGGGGCUCAACCCCGUACUGCAGUUGAUACUGCAAGCCUUGAGUGCGCGUGAGGUAGGCGGAAUGCGUGGUGUAGCGGUGAAAUGCAUAGAUAUCACGCAGAACCCCGAUUGCGAAGGCAGCAUACCGGCGCGCAACUGACGCUCAUGCACGAAAGCGUGGGUAUCGAACAGGAUUAGAUACCCCAGUAGUC